rnacentral:rRNA from 1 species
UGAGGAAUAUUGCACAAUGGGGGGGAACCCUGAUGCAGCGACGCCGCGUGGGUGAUGACGGCCUUCGGGUUGUAAAGCCCUUUUGCCACUGACGAGAACGGACGGUAGGUGGCGAAUAAGCCUCGGCUAACUACGUGCC